GGACCCAUAGCUCAGCUGGUUAGAGCACCGAGCUUAUAUCUCGGCGGUCCUUGGUUCAAGUCCAAGUGGGUCCACCA
rnacentral:tRNA from 3 species